rnacentral:rRNA from 1 species
GCUUACGGCCAUACCACCCUGAGUGCGACCGAUCUCGUCUGAUCUCGGAAGCUAAGCAGGGUCGGGCCUGGUUAGUACUUGGAAGGGAGACUGCCUGAGAAUACCAGGUGCUGUACGCU